rnacentral:tRNA from 1 species
AGUUAAGUAGUGUAAUUGGUAGCACAUGAGAUCGGAAAUCUCCGACAUGUGGGUUCGAGUCCUGCCUGAGGUU